CCCUGUGCAUACACCAUGUGGGUGCUAACAUGGAGACCGUGGCCAACGUUGGCCACAAAGCUUCAGGACCCAGAAUGAGGAUUUGACUGGAAAAUCAACAUAAAAGCACUGGUGUAAUUCUGAAAACCAGUGGCCUCGCUUUUUGGCUUUUGCAAAACGUGUUUGUUUGUUUGUUUGUUUUUUGGAUUGUACUUUUUUGGUUCAUGACUGUGCCUGUAGAUGGCUGUUACUUUGACUCUUUUCAUCAGGGCCCAAGCUGAAUUCACAAUUUCUUUUUCCAGUAUUUGCUUCAACUUACUAUGAUUUGUUCUUGAAACUUAAAAGUGAGCCUCUUUAAAGCAAGCAAGUGGCCAGUACCACCAGGGAAACUAGAGGAUGGAUACCACACAAACUUCUUGUAUAAAAACAUGAAUGCUGAAAUGUUUCCAACUUUUUUAAUUUAAUAAACCUUGUAACCAC
rnacentral:lncRNA from 1 species